AUGAUAUCUCUUUGUAAUACUAGUAGUCUUUGUCUCAAUAUGCCCCUAAUAGUAGAAAUACUUGAUCAUUCUAGAAAAUCAGCUCAAGAGUUCUCUGUCCUAUUACUUUUUUUGAGGCAAUAUGUCCCAUUACUUUUUUUUGGCCAACCAUGUGUGAAAUUGGGAAUGCUUUUCUUUUCUCUUAAAGUUGGUAGAAGCAUCUCUUGUUAUGUAGUUGUUUACCUCCAAGUUGCAAAAUUUAGAAGGCAUCCAUUAACUAUGAGAAUGAAAGUAUCCAUGUCUAUUUUGUUUCUUUUUGUUUUUUCUACAGUACUAAUAAUUAAUAGGGGGCAAAACUGUACCCUCAUGUUUUUGUUUUGUUUUAUUUUAUUCUAA